ensembl:lncRNA
AUGGGGCAAGAGGAGGCUGGGAAGGGGCAGGAGCCAGGAGUACUCCCUGUCUGGGUGGUGAGGGAAAGCCAGGGCUGGGUCCAGGCUUUGCCACUGGGUGCUGGCACUCAGGGGUGUUCCAGGCAGUGCCAAUCCAGGCAGUGCCAUUCCCAGAUAAUGGCAUUCCAGGGAAGUGCCAGUUCCAGGCAGUGCCAUCCCCAGGCAGUGCCAUUGCCAGGGGGCAGUGCCAUCCCCAGGCAGUGCCAUCCCCAGGCAGUGCCAUCCCCAGGCAGUGCCAUCCCCAGGCAGUGCCAAUCCCAGGCAGUGCCAUCCCCAGGUGGCAGUGCCAUCCCCAGGCAGUGCCACUCCCAGGCAGUGCCAUUCCCAGGCAGUGCCAUCCCCAGGCAGUGCCAUCCCCAGGCGGCAGUGCCAUCCCCAGGCAGUGCCAUCCCCAGGCGGCAGUGCCAUCCCCAGGCAGUGCCACUCCCAGGCAGUGCCAUUCCCAGGCAGUGCCAUCCCCAGGCAGUGCCACUCCCAGGCAGUGCCAUUCCCAGGCAAUGCCAAUCCCAGGCAGAGCCAUUCCCGGGCACUCUCCUGGGGGCAGCAGCAUCCCCAGGAGGUUUCUCCACCCUCGGAGGUCGAGCUCUGGCUGUGCUGCUGCUCCAGGCCAGGCUGAGGAGCUGCUGGUGCCCUCCAGCAGCCGAGGGACAGGGAGGGGACAGCUCCUGGCUGCUCUGGGGAAACCUUUCCAACCCCUUUGGAGCCAUCCUGGCACGCAGGGACACUGAGAGCAGCCUGGCACAGCCGAGGGCAGGCACUGAGCCCUCUGACAAGCCAUGGGAGUUUGUCUCCAGUCUUUGCAGGAAAACCAAGCCCCAGGAGCGUCCAGACCAACCAGCCCUGCCUGGGGCCAGGGAGAGCUGUGGGGGCAGGAGGAUGAGGAGCAAAGGGCUGCUCUGGGCUGGAGAAGGGUCCCUGGGAUCUCUGGUCCCUUCCAGGCCAGCUCCACCUGCACCCCAGCUGGCUCCAGGUGCUGUCCUGACCCAUUCUGGGCAUCUCCAGGGAUAUCCCAGCUCUGAGGGCCCUGCCUGCCUCCCUGCUGGCUCUGCCCCCACGGGGGACACGGGGACUGCUGGCAGGGUCAGGGUGCUGCAUUUAUUUCCCUCCUCCUGCCUGGAAGUGCCUGGGCUGGGCCAAAUUCCACAUUGGAUGGAAAACUGCUGGCCCAGGAAUGGAGGGUGA